rnacentral:rRNA from 1 species
UACGUAUGGUGCAAGCGUUAUCCGGAUUUACUGGGUGUAAAGGGAGCGCAGGCGGCACGGCAAGCCUGAUGUGAAAGCCCGCGGCCCAACCGCGGGACUGCAUUGGGAACUACCGGGCUGGAGUGCCGGAGAGGUAGGCGGAAUUCCUAAUGUAGCGGUGAAAUGCGUAGAUAUUAGGAGGAACACCAGUGGCGAAGGCGGCCUACUGGACGGUGACUGACGCUGAGGCUCGAAAGCGUGGGGAGCAAACAGG